ACCUCUGGUUCCACUUCAAGGUUGGAUAAAUCUUUCGCCUUUUACUAAAGAUUUCCAUGGAGUGGAUCACAUGAUGAGUCUAAACUGAAAAAAAAUUAUUAAUGAUUAAUUAUAUCUUCUUCA